CCGGUCGGCACCAGCGUCCAGCGGCUACCAUUUCAUCGCCGGCAGUCCAAGCUCGAGCUCCACCUACAGCCAAAGAGCGAGCUCCGGCAACCGGCGGGCACCAUACAAUUGCUGCUCCUCCACCUCCACCAUUAUCUAGAUUUUGAGCUAUUGAGGAUGAUAUUUGGGACUAGUUUGGAAGAGGCAUGGAUUGGAAACGUUGGAGAACAACAAGAUUAA
rnacentral:lncRNA from 1 species